GGUCCCGUAGCUCAGUUGGUUAGAGCAUUGGUCUUAUGGUAGAAGUAAGAGCAAGCCGAAGGUCGCGGGUUCGAGCCCCGCCGGGACCA
rfam:Picea glauca, whole genome shotgun sequence.